AUUGAACGCUGGCGGCAGGCCUAGCACAUGCAAGUCGGGCGAACGAGGCUUCGGCCAAGUGAGCGGCGAACGGGUGAGUAACACGUAGGAAUCUGCCUGGUAGUGGGGGACAACGUCUCGAAAGGGACGCUAAUACCGCAUACGCCCUACGGGGGAAAGCAGGGGCUCUUCGGACCUUGCGCUAUCAGAUGAGCCUGCGUCGGAUUAGCUAGUUGGUAGGGUAAAGACCUACCAAGGCGACGAUCCGUAACUGGUCUGAGAGGAUGAUCAGUCACACCGGAACUGAGACACGGUCCGGACUCCUACGGGAGGCAGCAGUGGGGAAUAUUGGACAAUGGGGGCAACCCUGAUCCAGCCAUGCCGCGUGUGUGAAGAAGGCCUUCGGGUUGUAAAGCACUUUAGGUCGGGAGGAAGGUUUGCUGGCUAAUAUCCAGCGAAAUUGACGUUACCGACAGAAUAAGCACCGGCUAACUCCGUGCCAGCCGCCGCGGUAA
rnacentral:rRNA from 1 species